UAGGGAAUCUUCGGCAAUGGACGAAAGUCUGACCGAGCAACGCCGCGUGAGUGAAGAAGGUUUUCGGAUCGUAAAACUCUGUUGUUAGAGAAGAACAAGGACGUUAGUAACUGAACGUCCCCUGACGGUAUCUAACCAGAAAGCCACGGCUAACUACGUGCCAGCAGCCGCGGUAAUACGUAGGUGGCAAGCGUUGUCCGGAUUUAUUGGGCGUAAAGCGAGCGCAGGCGGUUUCUUAAGUCUGAUGUGAAAGCCCCCGGCUCAACCGGGGAGGGUCAUGGAAACUGGGAGACUUGAGUGCAGAAGAGGAGAGUGGAAUUCCAUGUGUAGCGGUGAAAUGCGUAGAUAUAUGGAGGAACACCAGUGGCGAAGGCGGCUCUCUGGUCUGUAACUGACGCUGAGGCUCGAAAGCGUGGGGAGCAAACAGG
rnacentral:rRNA from 1 species